UACGGGGGGAGCAAGCGUUGUUCGGAUUUACUGGGCGUAAAGGGCGCGUAGGCGGCUUAACAAGUCACUUGUGGAAUCUCCGGGCUUAACUCGGAACGGCCAAGUGAAACUGUCAAGCUAGAGUGCAGAAGGGGCAAUCGGAAUUCUUGGUGUAGCGGUGAAAUGCGUAGAUAUCAAGAGGAACACCUGAGGUGAAGACGGGUUGCUGGGCUGACACUGACGCUGAUGCGCGAAAGCCAGGGGAGCAAACGGG
rnacentral:rRNA from 1 species